rnacentral:rRNA from 1 species
CCUACGGGGGGCAGCAGUGGGGAAUAUUGGACAAUGGGGGGAACCCUGAUCCAGCCAUGCCGCGUGUGUGAAGAAGGCCCUCGGGUUGUAAAGCACUUUCAGUGAGGAAGAACGCCUGGUGGUUAAUACCCAUCAGGAAAGACAUCACUCACAGAAGAAGCACCGGCUAACUCCGUGCAGCAGCCGCGGUAAUACGGAGGGUGCGAGCGUUAAUCGGAAUUACUGGGCGUAAAGCGCGCGUAGGUGGCUUGAUAAGCCGGUUGUGAAAGCCCCGGGCUCAACCUGGGAACGGCAUCCGGAACUGUCAAGCUAGAGUGCAGGAGAGGAAGGUAGAAUUCCCGGUGUAGCGGUGAAAUGCGUAGAGAUCGGGAGGAAUACCAGUGGCGAAGGCGGCCUUCUGGACUGACACUGACACUGAGGUGCGAAAGCGUGGGUAGCAAACAGGAUUAGAUACCCCAGUAGUC